rnacentral:rRNA from 1 species
GACGAACGCUGGCGGCGUGCUUAACACAUGCAAGUCGAACGGUAAGGCCCUUUCGGGGGUACACGAGUGGCGAACGGGUGAGUAACACGUGGGUGAUCUGCCCUGCACUUUGGGAUAAGCCUGGGAAACUGGGUCUAAUACCGGAUAGGACUACGCGAUGCAUGUCGUGUGGUGGAAAGCUUUUGCGGUGUGGGAUGGGCCCGCGGCCUAUCAGCUUGUUGGUGGGGUGAUGGCCUACCAAGGCGACGACGGGUAGCCGGCCUGAGAGGGUGUCCGGCCACAGGGGGGUGGAGAUCGGGCACAGCCCCCACCGGGGGGAGGGGGGGGGGAUUAUUGAAAAAGGGGGGAAACCGGGAGGCGGCGGGCCGGGGGGGGGAAGGAGGCCUUUGGGUUUGUAACCCCUUUCCAGCAAAGAGGAAGGGGAGGUGAGGGUAGGGGAAGAAAAAGCACCGCCCAACUGCGU